AUCAGUCGCCUGCCCGAGAUAGUCACCAAACAGAAGAAGAUGAGAUCACUGAAGAAGUGAUGACUGAGUCACCUGAAAGUUAUCACUUGGCCAGAGAUAGAGAAAGGAGACAAGUCAGAGCUCCUAGAAGAUUUGAUUUGGAGGGCUAUUAUGGUGAAGAUACAGAUGAUGAAGAUGAGUUUGAUGCAGAAGCUCUCAUUACUACAGUUGAUGGAGAUUCUGCAGAACCUGCAAA
rnacentral:lncRNA from 1 species